AUUGAACGCUGGCGGCAGGCCUAACACAUGCAAGUCGAGCGAGCGGCGGACGGGUGAGUAAUGUCUGGGAAACUGCCUGAUGGAGGGGGAUAACUACUGGAAACGGUAGCUAAUACCGCAUACCAUCAGAUGUGCCCAGAUGGGAUUAGCUAGUAGGUGGGGUAACGGCUCACCUAGGCGACGAUCCCCAGCUGGUCUGUGAGGAUGACCAGCCACACUGAAACUGAGACACGGUACAGACUCCUACGGGAGGCAGCAGGGGGGAAUAUUGCACAAUGGGCACAGGCCUAAUGCAGACAUGCCGCGUGUGUGAAGAAGGCAUUCGGGUUGUAAAGCACUUUCAGCGGGGAGGCGUUACCAACAGAAGAAGCACCGGCUAACUCCGUGCCAGCAGCCGCGGUAAUAC
rnacentral:rRNA from 1 species